rnacentral:rRNA from 1 species
UACGGGGGGGGCAAGCGUUGUUCGGAAUUACUGGGCGUAAAGGGCUCGUAGGCGGCCAACUAAGUCAGACGUGAAAUCCCUCGGCUUAACCGGGGAACUGCGUCUGAUACUGGAUGGCUAGAGGUUGGGAGAGGGAUGCGGAAUUCCAGGUGUAGCGGUGAAAUGCGUAGAUAUCUGGAGGAACACCGGUGGCGAAGGCGGCAUCCUGGACCAAUUCUGACGCUGAUGAGCGAAAGCCAGGGGGGCAAACGGG